rnacentral:rRNA from 1 species
UACGUAGGGUGCGAGCGUUAAUCGGAAUUACUGGGCGUAAAGCGUGCGCAGGCGGUUCGUUGUGUCGGUGGUGAAAUCCCCGGGCUUAACCUGGGAAUGGCCAUGGAAACUGGCGAACUGGAGUGCGGCAGAGGGGGGUGGAAUUCCGCGUGUAGCAGUGAAAUGCGUAGAGAUGCGGAGGAACACCGAUGGCGAAGGCAGCCCCCUGGGCUAGCACUGACGUUCAGGCACGAAAGCGUGGGGAGCAAACAGG